CCAUCCAACAUCGAGUAACAAUUGGAGGACAAGUCUGGUGCCAGCACCCGCGGUAAUUCCAGCUCCAAGAGCGUAUAUUAACGCUGUUGCUGUUAAAGGGUUCGUAGUUGAAUUGUGGAGUAUGGCCACGGGAUUCAGUCCUUUUCCCACGGUCUAGGAACGUCCCGGCCAUACUCCGAGAACGUCAGAAACUAAGAUCACGGAAGCGUUUUUUACAAACUGCCACCGACUACGCGAGCAAUGUUCGCUGGUGGACGUCCGUGUUUUUUACUGUGACUAAAGAAGUGCGACCAAGGCAGUCCAUCGACAUGAAUUAGAAAGCAUGGGAUAACAAAGCAGCAGCCUAUGAGCUACCGUUUAGGCUUUUGUUGGUUUUAAAGGUUCGUGGGAGAUUACGGGCGUGUAGGACCGGCGUUGGGGGUUUUCCAAAAUCCCCGCGUCUCCUCCUGGCAUCGGAAACGGUGCUUGCGGGGCCUGCUUCGCUCAGGAAUGAAGGAGGGUUGCUCGGGGGAAAACGUACUUGGGCGUGAGAGGUGAAAUUCUUAGACCGCCCAAAGACGAACUACAGCGAAGGCAUUCUCCAAGGAUACCUUCCUCAAUCAAGAACCAAAGUGUGGG
rnacentral:rRNA from 1 species